rnacentral:lncRNA from 1 species
UAAAGUCUCACCAGCAUGACUGUCCAAAUGUAAACUGAACAAGGACCUCAGCGAACACGCCAAACAGCACGGGGAGGAAAGCCCAUCCACGGUGAGGUCAGCCUACAUAAAGAACUACAGGCAACUGAGUAACGCUGGGCACAGCAGAGGCGGUCCGCCCAGGGAAGAGCAUCCCGAUUGGUUGUCCAGUGCCAAAUUGUCAGCCCUGAAAAUACACAUACAAGUAACAUUAUAUGGACCAACAGGCUCUAUCUGGGAAUAUUUUUGUAUAUACGAAGACAUAAAGGCAUGCAAUAACAGAAAAACAAGGCCAUGAAUUUGAAGGAGAGAGAAGGGGCAUAUGAGAAGGUUUAGAGGAAGGAAGGGAAAGGAAACAUGUUGUAAUUAAAAUACAAUCUCAAAAGUAAAAAUAGAGUCCACCUCAUUGGUGUCCCAGGAGAAAGUGACCACAGCUUUUCCAAAAUCCACACUCCUGUUUAAAGAAUGGUUUUAAAAAAAAAAAGUCCCAGCCUGUGGGACAAUCAUUCAGGCUACGCACAAAAAACCAGGUUUGGUAAAGACAGCUGUGUCUGUCUGCCACCGUGUCUAUCUGUCCCUGGAGGUACAAACCAGGACACAGGAGCCCAUCAGAGGAAGGAGCAAGAACUCAAAUGGGAGCAGAGGGUCACUCCACCAUCUUCUCAAGUCCAGGAAGCAGGUGGUGCCUCAUGGUGGAGACCAGAGAGGUGUGACGAGAGGGGCAGGCAGAACAGGAAGUCCUGGGUCCUUGUUAUUUCCGGGGCUACUUCCUGCACCAGUGGACCACCAAGACCUUUCCCUGAGCUCGACAAGAACCACUCAGACCUGAAAAAGAGAUGGCCCAAGAAGGUGGUGUACCUGGCAGCCAAGUCCACAGGAGAGGGUGUCGCUUUCAGAACCAAGUUUUGAGGCCACCCAGGGAAGCUGAAUAAAUCAGGUUCAUGGACCACCUGCCCAGGGUGGGGGCUCAACCCACAGCGAGCUAAGCCUUCUUCUAUCAGUUAACAAUCAAGAAAAUGCCCCGCCCAUAGACAUACACAAGCC